UGUAUGUUGAUACGUGAAAUUCUGGAGGGACGUCGGACGGCGUGGCGCGGUGACGUAAUGACGUGUGCCGUUAAUCUAAUUAUGUUCUCUAACUUGUAAAACAGGAACAUGACAGGAGUACUCUAAAAGUGACUCAUGUAAACACCUUAAUCACAUUAUUAUCUUACUCAGAGUAAGGCCAAUAAUUAGAUUACUGCUGUCCAUGUAAAUGUAGUCUGUAAUACACGUCGAUAAUGCAACUAAAACAGGAGUACUCCAAACGUGUUAAUUCGGUUAGUGCUUACUUCGCGUAUGACCUUAAUCAGAUUAAGGUAAUUAAAAAUUGCUGUUUACAUGGUAGUUUCUUAAUCAAAGUAUCAUCUUAAUCAGGUUAAGAGUCGAUUCUUGUUCUCCAUGUAAACCUACUGACUAAGUGUGUUACACAGACAGGUGACUCCACAAGAUUGUGUCCUGUGGUAUCUGGCACUAAGAUGUUAGCAACAGGUCCUUUAAAUCCUGUAAGUUGUGAGGUGGGGCCUCUAUAGAUCGGACUUGUUUGUCCAGCACGUCCCACAUAUUCUCGAUUGGAUCAAAUUUGGAGGCAACACCCUGAACUCUUUGUUAUGUUCCUCAAACCGUUCCUGAACAACUUUUGCAGCUUUCCAGGGCACAUUAUCCUGGUGAAAGUGGGCACAGCCAUUAGGGAAUACCGUACAUGAAUGUGGUGUACUUUUAGGUAGGUGGUACAUGUCAAAGUAACAUCCACAUGAAUGCCCAAGGACCCAAGGUUUCCCAGCAGAACAUUGCACAGAGCAUCGCACUGCCUCUGCCGACUUGCCUUCUUCCCACAGUCCAUCCUGGUGCCAUCUCUUCCUCAGCAUUAACUUCAGGAGUAGCUCUUCUGUGGGAUUGGACCAGUCGCCCCUAGCUUUUGCUCCCCAAUGAGCCGUGGGUGCCCAUGUCCCUGUCGCCGGUUCACCGGUUGUCCUUCCUUGGACCACUUUUGGUAGGCACUAACUACUGCACACUAGGAACACCCCACAAGACCUGCCGUUUUGGAGAUGCUCUGACCCGGUCUUCUAGCCUUCACAAUUUGCUCCUUGUCAAAGUCGCUCAGAUCCUCACACUUGCCCAUUUUUCCUCCUUCCAACACAUCAACUGUUUACUUGCUACCUACUAUAUCCCUCUCCUUGACGGGUGUCAUUCUAAGGAGAUAAUGAGAUUCUAAUAAGAAAAAUACAGCUGCGUCUAACGAGAUUCUAGCACACACACUAUAUAGCAUCCUUACAUUAUCAACAAUUAUAUAUUUUCCUGUUUUUUGUAAGUGGGUUGAUACUACAGAAAUGAUAACAUAUUAGGAUGAGCACACUGAUGUAAACAUGUGAUAUUUGAAUUCCAGCUGGAGCUAUUGUUAGAACUGCUGUUGUAGAUAAUUAAACAACACCUUCUGACCAAUCAAAACAAAGAAUUCAGCAGUAUACUGUAAAAAUAUGUUGUACAAAAGUUGAUAUAUUCAGCAUUUGGCAAUGAAUAAAACUUCUUAACACUCUCUUAAAUAAUCUUUCCUUUAUUUUAGUACCACUGAACGGUCACAUCAAGGUCUGUACAUUUCAGCAAGCAUUAAUCUUAUAAAUAUAAUAAUAUAUAAGCCUAUAUACAGUCAACAUUUUCAACUGCCAGCAUAUUUGUUCGGUCAGAUCAUCUAAUGGCUAUUCUUCAGCAAGUCUUCAGGACCAAAUGACUCAGGAAGGAGGUCCUUCACAGUCAUCUUUAUGAAAGAGCCGUCUGG